rnacentral:misc_RNA from 1 species
UUUCCUCCCUUGCUUCCGCACGGUUGCAAGGGGGACCCCGAAGCAUUCGUUGCGUCCCGGACGAGCCUCGUGUCUUUGUCGGGGCUGUCACGGUGCGCGGUUGUGUGCUAGUCCCUCUCGGAUGCGGAAGAGUUGCGACGGGCGCGGGGGUGUCUCGCCUCCGAACGUCCCGGUCCAUUGUCCCAUUAUUCGGAUGACGAUUGCGACCGCACGUGCCUCCGGCAAUCACGCCGGCAAGGGUGCGCGCGUGGCCCGCGACGUCUCGAAGG